GUGAAUCAUCAAAUUUUUGAACGCAAAUUGCACUCUCUUCGGUUAGGAUGCCUGUUUGAGUUUGAGCCUAAAUAAAAUCGACAUAUUCGCUUUUAUGCGGUAACAUUCGUCGGCAAUUGUUUCAUCCUAAACCUUUGUGUUUAAGCGGCUUAAAAUUUUCUUUACGAUUUCAAGAACGUUUCUAAGAUUUUAUUUUCUUAUACGUUUAAGGUAUCGAUCUUUAUUAGACGUGGUCGUUGCAUCUGAUUUCGGCCA
rnacentral:misc_RNA from 1 species